GAUGGCCUUGAACUCACUAUGUAGCCGAAACUGGCCUUGACUCUUGGUGAUCCUCCUGCCUCAGCCUCACGAGUGCUAGGAUUACAGGUCACUUCAUAUUCCAAGAUGGCUGCCAGAGAUCCAUCCAUCAGAUCCACAUUCCAAGUCAAUAGCAAGAGAAAGGAGAAAAGAAAAAGGAUAUGCGUGCCUUUUACAGAACCUUUUCCAGAAGGCCCACACUAACUUAUAUUUCUUUGGGCAUCAUUUUAUCAUAUGGCCACAUCUGGCUGCAGAGAAGGCUGGGAAUAUCAUUUUUUAGCUGGCUGUAGUGUCUCGAAGUCAGUUACGAAGGAAGAAGGGAAGGAUGAAUAUAAACAAAAUUAUACUGAGCAAAACAAGUCAGGACACAAGAAGAGUGUAUACUGUAUGGUUCCAUUUAUAUGAAACUCUAGGAAAGGCAAAUCUAAUUUAUAACAGCAGCAAGCAUUGCUGAUCGUGGGUCAGAAUUUACAGGGUGUGCAGCAAGGAAGGUUUUUGGGAUAAUGGAAAUGUUCUGUGUCCUGAUGAUGAUGCUUAUAUAGGAGUACAGAUUGGUCUUCCAAUCUGUACAAGUGUUGUCUUCCAAACAUGCACUUCCAAGGGAUGCCAUUUCAUUUGAACUAUAUAUUAUACCUCAGUAAAGUUGAGUUUUAUAAUUAUGAAAAACCCCAACACUAUAACAAAAUUAUUCUUAAAGUUUAUUCAUUUUCCUUCUCUUUUAUUUGCAUAUCUUGACACAGCUGAGAGUACAAUGCUUAUACUCACUUGGAUUCCUGCAUUCUUCACUUUACAUCAUAAGAUUUUUCCAUGUUGCUUCGUUGAUCUUCAUAAGCAUAACUUGAAAUGACUGUAUGAUCCUUUGGGAGUUUGAAAUGUAACAUGUGUACACAUACAGUUAAAACAAUUCACAAGCACCAAAGAACACACAAUAGAAUGGAGUCUCCCCCUGCAACUCUGUAAAACCCUUACUUAGAAGCAGUGGAUUCCAGUUUCUAGCACAUAGAACCAGAAACAUCCUGUGCACAUAAAGACACACGUGUGAAGACCUCCUCUCCUGUGAGACGUCUCGGAGGCAAUCCUGAGUACUCACUUGCUCACAUGAUACAUCUUGAACACCCGCUCAUGUUCUUCAUACGGUCUGAAUGUUCUCUCAUUUAUUGAAUCAAUAUUGUUAAGCACAUAGUGUUUCCCCAGUUUCUUUUUUCCUAUUAAUCAUGCCGUAGAUGUCAUGUUACUGGUUUGACUCAGCUACCAAGUUUAAAAUAAAUGCUACGUUCCAAAGGAGCUGCUAGGCUGUCUACAGCAUUUGCCAAGCAAGAUGCUUAAAGCCAGCUGUGCUGGUGCACACCUGCAGUCCCAGCUGCUUGGAGGGCUGACAUGGAAGCGGCUCAAAUUCAAGGGCAGCCUGGGCAAUUUAGUGAGAUCCUGUCUCAAAUAAAAAGGUCUGGAGCGUAGCUCAGGUGUAGAGGGCUUGCCCAGCAUGUCCUAGUCGCUGGGUUUAAUCUUUGGUACUGGGGAAAAAAAUGGGUGGGGGAG
rnacentral:lncRNA from 1 species